UUGACUGUGCUAAGGUAGCAUAAUAAAUUGGCUUUUAAUUGAAGUCGGGAAUGAAAGGGUGUUUGGAGUUAUUCUGUCUUGUUUUUAUUUUUUAAAAAUUACUAAUGGGGUGAAAAUUCCCCAAUAUUAUCUGAUAGACGAGAAGACCCUAAGAGUUAUUACAAUUAAUUAAAAAAUUAAUAAAAGUUUUUGUUGGGGCAACAACUUUGGAAAUAAGAACCAAAGUUAAAUUUAUUUUAAACAUAAAAAUUAUAUUAAAAAUGAAUUUAACUACCUUAGGGAUAACAGCAUAAUUAUAUUUUAGAUUAUGACCUCGAUGUUGGAUUAAGGCCU
rnacentral:rRNA from 1 species